CUGGUUUCCGUUUGCUGUUUAAAUGCAGUCUCUUGUAGUUCGAGUUUAGACAACAAGACGAGCAUCACGCGCGUUCUACUUGUUACAGUCAUACAAGACCGCAUUCCGGUUCCACGCUUACUAGUUUUCGAACAACGCAGUUCGGUGGCAGAAGAGUCACGAGCAUCACCUGAACCAGCAUUAGCGCUCCAUGUAUGUGAUCCCGUCCGAAGUAUUUCGUAAUAUUUUUCUGUUUGUUUUUAACUGCAACUUGAGGAAAACUUGCGACCCAAUUCACACGUUUUUGAAAUAAUGGUUUAAUCAAUUACCUCUGAACUACGGAUGAAUGCCAUUCGUUCGCAGCCAAAGAACGGAAACAACAGUUCCAAUUGGUCGGUUGUUCCAGUUUCCGCAGAUACAGCAGGUUUCGGAUUCUUCCCACAGUCUACAGAAUAGAAGAAUGCAAAUCAAGAAUCUGAGCAUUUGAUAAUGGACUUAAUUAUGAAAACUUAAGAUGAAUUCGAAAUCCCUCGUUUUAACGGCAAAUUUACGUAGAUGUAACGCUCGGAAAAAGAUAAAAUCCCUCACCUUGUUUGUUUAUUUACGGUGAUACUCAAUUGCCAAAGGUGCUAAAUAUAUUGGGUUUCUCCUGUG